rnacentral:tRNA from 1 species
UGGAUUGAUAGCUCAGCUGGAUAGAGCAUCCGCCUUCUAAGCGGGAGGUCGCAGGUUCGAGUCCUGCUCAGUCCGU